rnacentral:rRNA from 1 species
CGGAGAACUGAAACAUCUUAGUACCCGGAGGAAGAGAAAGAAAAAUCGAUUCCCUGAGUAGCGGCGAGCGAAACGGGAAGAGCCCAAACCAACAAGCUUGCUUGUUGGGGUUGUAGGACACUCUAUAUGGAGUUACAAAAGUAUUUGUUAGACGAAUAACCUGGAAAGGUUAAUCAGAGAAGGUAAUAAUCCUGUAGUCGAAAACGAAUACCCUCUUGAGUGGAUCCUGAGUACGACGGAGCACGUGAAAUUCCG